rnacentral:piRNA from 1 species
UGUAAUGCAGCUCGUGCGAUU